rnacentral:lncRNA from 1 species
AUGGCUUAUGCAAAAUUAAUUUCUAUUCCCUUUUCUUUUCCUUCAGGCUUUUUCAUUUCUAGUGGAAACUUCGCCUCCUGACAUCUUCAUGAGGAAUUGCGGCUGCAUUAUCAUAGUACCAUGGACUUUCCAGCUAUUUUUAUGGAGAAAUAGUAAUUCAGAAGGAAUUGGUUUUUCUCAGCCACCCACUGCUGGAGGAGAGCUGCCCUACCCCAGAAACACAGCUAAGGCAGAACCAGCACUCCUAAAAGUAAUAAUUUGGAUUAUUUGCAAACAGAUGGCCAGAAACACAAACACUUUCGGUUACAAUUAUCACUUAUCCCUUUGGCUGCCAAUACUCCACUGCACGCGUCUUUGCUGCUCUAUGCUAAUAACAUGAACUGAAAGGACUUGGAAUGUCAGCUCUUACCUGCUGUACUCCAUGAGUGAGCUGCCAGCUGGGCUGUUUGAGGGAAGCUUUGGGCUUCAAGCAUUAGGUCUGGGCUCUGGAGACUUGUGUUCCUACCAGGGCUCUGCCUUAGAUUUCCUGUGUGACCUUGAACAUAUAAUACUCCCACAACCUCAGCUGCCCAUCUGUUAACACAGGCAUGGUAAUUAUGAUGGGAAUGAAUUUAACUUUGUAACAAUUCUUAAGGUUGAAGACCCUUCAUCAGAAAUGUGGUUCGAACUGUGGCCCUGGAGAUAGAUUCCAUCUGAGAAAGGAAUCUCUCAUGGUGGUAGAGGACAAGGUGCUUUCCGUGGUGUGUUUGCUGAACUGCUAAAGAGUGACUGGAAUGCAGGAACCUUAAAGCUGGGCUCAAACCAUUCUGGUUCUUUUUUAUUAUUUUUCAGAAGUCCCACACUGGCCAUUCCUGUUCCAUCUCUUGACAUGGCCAUUGUACAUCUGCUUCCCCUGCAGACCCAGCAUCACUUUUCUCCAGUAAAUUUAUCUCGGCUAUUACAUCAUCACUUUUUCCUCUGGCCUGUCUUUGCUUCUGGGUGACUCUGAAAAUUGCUUAUUUAUAUAGCUGCAACUCUUUACAUCGCAAAAUAAGCUUUUUUAAAAGCUGUUUAGUGCAUCUGAGUACUUUGGGGGAUGUCCAGCCUUUGUUAAAUGAGCUGUUGCUUCAUGGGAUCAGGAGGACCACGGGGACAGAGCUAAGGAGCCAGGGCUCAGAGCUGACAGGUGAAUGCUCCAUACACACACAGCAAACACACCUGUAAAUGUUAAUUACCCUGCACACCCAGCUGUUAACCUGCCUGAACUGGACAGUCACUGGACAGAUGUUCUCUUUAGUAAGAGCCAGGCUCUUCUGUCCUUCCCCUCCUCACAGGGGGAACCUGCCUUGUACAGAUUACUUCUGUGCUGCCCAAGUGUUCACCCUCAUCACCUCCUGCAUGCACUGGCCAGUACAUCUUACUCACCAGGCUGUGUGUAACUGCCACACAGUCAAACCAUCCUAAUUUCAAAUAUUUUCUUUUCUGUUUUCUAUGAACAGCUUUCACUAUAAACAUUAUUUUUGUUUUCUAAGGAGAGCUUUGACAGUGUUGCAGCAUUUUUGUCUGUGUUUAUCACUGAAGUAUCACCAUGGAAAUCACAGGUCUGGCAGCCCAGAGCAGAAGGAAGGUGGUCAGCAGGCUCUUUGCUCAAAAUUUCUUUAAAAAUGGGUUGUCUUGGAGAAGAAUGAGGAAGGCAGGUAGAAAGUGCAGAGGUUCUAGAAAUGUUCUAAGUCCACAGGUGAAAUCACAGCUUAGAUUAUAUGAAUUCGUUAAAUUUAAUUUGUGUCUAGCCAUUCUACCAUACCAUGGUAGGUGUAAAUAAUCUCAUUUGGAUUGUGGAAGACCUAUUGCUAUCCAUUUCCAGACUCUUCAGAGCUGUACAGAUGUUCAAGGAGAUGAUGUGACACCCUCUAACAAAAUGUAUUGUAUGGAGGAUGGAGACUCUCAUUGUUCUCUAAAAAUGCUUUUGUGUGGUUGGUGCUGUGCUGCCAUUUUAUCUCCCUUUUCUGUGUGUAAGGCAAUAAAAACUUGUCCUUAGCUAAGUGUUCUCCUGAC